rnacentral:rRNA from 1 species
AGAAUCAACGCUGGCGGCGUGCCUAACGCAUGCAAGUCGAACGAGAAAGGGUAGCAAUACCUGAGUAAAGUGGCGCACGGGUGAGUAACACGUGACUAACCUACCUUUUAGUGGGGGAUAACCUAGGGAAACCUGGGCUAAUACCGCAUAAUACCUACGGGUCAAAGCAGCAAUGCGCUGAAUGAGGGGGUCGCGGUCGAUUAGUUAGUUGGCAGGGUAAUGGCCUACCAAGACUGUGAUCGAUA